rnacentral:rRNA from 1 species
CCUACGGGAGGCAGCAGUGAGGAAUAUUUGUCAAUGGACGAGAGUCUGAACCAGCCAAGUAGCGUGAAGGAUGACUGCCCUAUGGGUUGUAAACUUCUUUUAUAUGGGAAUAAAAUGUUCCACGUGUGGGAUUUUGUAUGUACCAUAUGAAUAAGGAUCGGCUAACUCCGUGCCAGCAGCCGCGGUAAUACGGAGGAUCCGAGCGUUAUCCGGAUUUAUUGGGUUUAAAGGGAGCGUAGGUGGAUUGUUAAGUCAGUUGUGAAAGUUUGCGGCUCAACCGUAAAAUUGCAGUUGAAACUGGCAGUCUUGAGUACAGUAGAGGUGGGCGGAAUUCGUGGUGUAGCGGUGAAAUGCUUAGAUAUCACGAAGAACUCCGAUUGCGAAGGCAGUUCACUGGACUGCAACUGACACUGAGGCUCGAAAGUGUGGGUAUCAAACAGGAUUAGAUACCCGUGUAGUC